UUUCAGUACAUCCAAAGCUCAACUCCUCAACUCCUAGACCUGGGCUUGAAGUCACGUAAAACCCCUACAGAGGUCAGCAAGUUUUAACAAAGCUUGUUUUCAGAAUUUGAAAAACAGAGAUACAAAGGGAACUGUGGCAGCUGAAUUCUCUUUCAUGUAUGUCCAGACCAGGUGAAGCCCAGCAUAAUGUACUGUAAUAUGUCUCUUCAGUUCUCUGAUACAAUGACCUGUGCAUCCUCUAAAUCCCCCACAGAAUGCACAGACACAGACUGAUUGAGUUCCUCUAGCAAAAGCAGUGAUGAAAGCAUCUCAGAGGCUCUUGCUGCAGCUGGGAGCACGCAGUACCUGAAAUUCCAGCCAUUUUCUCAGGGAUGUUGUUGCAACCAUGGAGAGAAAUUGGUGCAGGCUAUGCAUAAUUUCCAGAGAGGGCAAUUUCAGACUAAUCAAAGAAGAGUCCUUCCUGGAAAUUCCAUAUGCUUCAGGACUCUGCUUUCCUGAAGGUUAGAAGA
rnacentral:lncRNA from 1 species